GUGGAUUAGUGGCGAACGGGUGAGUAACACGUGAGAAAUCUGCCCCUGACUCUGGGAUAACUGCGGGAAACUGUAGCUAAUACCGGAUACUUUCCCUGGUGGGCAUCCACUGGGGAAGAAAGAAUUUCGGUCAGGGAGGAUCUCGCGGCCUAUCAGCUAGUUGGUGAGGUAACGGCUCACCAAGGCAACGACGGGUAGCUGGUCUGAGAGGAUGAUCAGCCACACUGGGACUGAGACACGGCCCAGACUCC
rnacentral:rRNA from 1 species